rnacentral:lncRNA from 1 species
UUGCUCAUUCCAAUUCAGAUCCUGCUUCCAGUCUGCUGACUUGUGAGUUCAAGUAAACCGAGGACCUAGAAGAAAUAUAACCAUCCCUGGGAACUAAUAAACCUUCAGAGGUCACACAGUACAGAGUGACAGUGGAGUCCAGUCUGUGGUAGCAAGGAUGCUAGAAGAACUUUAAUCUUACUUGGUUCGUGAUCACUGUGAAGACUGACAGUCCAUAUCACCUUUUGUUCUCAUAAGUGUCUACCAUGAACCUAUUAACUGUACUAGACUUGUGUAUAGUGUUGAGAAAAUAGAUGUAGUCCUCAUUUUACAUGCUAACACAAAGAUACAUAAUACCAGCUUGGGAGGGUGGGGUCUGCUGAGAUAAGUUAGCUGAGACUUCCCAAUCAACUGUGGGUGGACUGAAUCCACUGCUUCGGCUACAAACCUCCUUUGAUGGUGAUGAGCCUGGAGAUCCAUGCACCCUAGGACCCAUUGGAGAACACAGACCUGGGGCUCACAGUUUUAUUUUCGCACAAUAUCAGCAGGAUGAUGUCCAAGGAUUUGAUGGAUGCAGCCAAGCCUCACUUACAGGCCCCAGUGGUCCCUCUAGGAACUGCACAGAAUUGUAUUGUUGCUAAAGAGUGUCUGCUAGUUCUUGGGGAUCUAUGAAUAGGCUUAGGAUGCACUCUGCCUCAUUCGUGGCUGGAAUCCAGUGUCAUCUACUCAUUAGGCAUCACAGCAGAUAUCAGGGCAGUUUUAGAUGUAUGGAGAGAAGUUCAUGAUAGACAGAUAUAUAGACAGAUAGAUAGAUCUCUUUCUCUUUUAACAUUUAUAUACAUAUAAAUUAAAGUACAACUAAACUGUAGAUAUAUAUUAUAUAUUCUACACACUACACACACAAAUAGAGUUUAACUGCAGUAUAAUUAUUUGUAGUUUUGGGGGGGCGGUAUAAAAAAAAACAGAGGUGCUUUACCACUGAGUCAAAUCCCCAGCCCUUUUUAAUUUUUGUUUUGAAACAGGGUCUUGCUGAGUUGCUCAGGGCUUCACUAUGAGACAAAGACUGGCCUUGAACUUGCAAUCCUGUUGCCUCGGCCUCCUAGUUCUCUGGGAUUGCAAAUGUGUGCCACCAUGCCCAGUUAAGUAUAAUUUCGUAACAUAAAAUUCAUUCAUUUUAAUCAUACACAUAGUUUUAGUAAAUGUAGUAUAAUUAUUGAGUUGUGUAAUCACCACUGCAUUCUAAUACUAGUGCAGUCCUAUCAACCCAAAAAGAAACCUUGC